rnacentral:rRNA from 1 species
GAUGAACGCUGGCGGCGUGCCUAAUACAUGCCAGUCGAGCGAACAGACGAGGAGCUUGCUCCUCUGACGUUAGCGGCGGACGGGUGAGUAACACGUGGAUAACCUACCUAUAAGACUGGGAUAACUUCGGGAAACCGGAGCUAAUACCGGAUAAUAUAUUGAACCGCAUGGUUCAAUAGUGAAAGACGGUUUUGCUGUCACUUAUAGAUGGAUCCGCGCCGCAUUAGCUAGUUGGUAAGGUAACGGCUUACCAAGGCAACGAUGCGUAGCCGACCUGAGAGGGUGAUCGGCCACACUGGAACUGAGACACGGUCCAGACUCCUACGGGAGGCAGCAGUAGGGAGUCUUCCGCAAUGGGCGAAAGCUUGACGGAGCAACGCCGCGUGAGUGAUGAAGGCCUUCGGAUCGUAAAACUCUGUUAUUAGGGAAGAACAAAUGUGUAAGUAACUAUGCACGUCUUGACGGUACCUAAUCAGAAAGCCACGGCUAACUACGUG